UUAGGUUACUUCUACUUAAAUAAAACGGGGAAGAGAAAAAACAAAAAAAACAAAAGUAGUUCAUUUGCUGGUGAGUGAGAUCACACACAACCCCACAUAGUUGAAACAUUAUUUUAAAUUCUGAUAAUUUCUGUUUAAUGAAUAUGUUUUAUUUGACCAAAUUUUAAACAAAAGAAAAACCAAUCCUCGGCUUCCAAAAUAAAAUUUCUGGUCCCGCGAAUGUAGACACUUACCUAAUUCUCAG
rnacentral:lncRNA from 1 species